rnacentral:rRNA from 1 species
CAUCGAUGAAGAACGUAGCGAAAUGCGAUACUUGGUGUGAAUUGCAGAAUCCCGUGAACCAUCGAGUCUUUGAACGCAAGUUGCGCCCGAGGCUAUUUGGUCGAGGGCACGCCUGCCUGGGCGUCAUGCC